ensembl:lncRNA
GAGCACUUGAACGGCAUGUAUUUGUGACAAAUGACACCGAGAUCACGGACGGACUGAAGUGGCCAAAUUUUUCACCGAGGUGCUUUUAGACCGCCAAGCGGAGGUGGUAGUCUGCGCAGACGUCCACCUGACCCUUCUGCAAGCCGCCGGUUUGAGUCCGUGAAGCUGCUGCUCCGUGUGUGCUCGAGCGGUGUGAGUGCGCGCGCACGCGCUCCGCGUCCUCUGAAGGUGCGCGAGGUUCCCGCCUCUUUUUCCGUGAGCUCGCGUGUCUGGGCACCGUCCGCGAGCGCUUAUUGGCUUGCUAUACCUGAGAGAAGAGAAAGGCUGCUCACGCUGUCGGUGUGUGUAUGAAAAAGAAAAACCGCCGUAAUCGAGAACUGCGCCAACCUAAUUUCCGUGUCAGGAGGAAAAUAAAACGAAUCCUCGCACAUUACAUCUGUGACGCAGUAGUCAUUUCACAGGAUGUUACCAGGGGAUGCCAAUGCGCCGUCUGCCAGUCUGCCUGACGGGAAUAACAGAUGAGAGAGGGAAAAGGGGAGGAGGAAGAAAAAGAGUGUGCUCUCAGUGUGCUGCUCUCAGUCUUCAGAUUUUGGCAUCAGUGGCAGGUGCUCAGUGCGGCAUGACAUGGAGGUAUUCAAGGGAAAUAGACCUAAUUAUGUGUUUUGCAGGCUCAGCUGAGAUAUAGCUGUUAGGAAAGUGAAAUUCAUAACUGAUGUGAAAGGACAUCCAUAGCAUAUAGCUGGGUUUCCAUCCAGAUAUUUUUUGUGAAGUUUGGAGUAUCAAAAGUACUGGAAGAAAACAAACACACACACACACACACACACACACACACACACAUAAAUAAAUAAAGUGGUUUUUUUUCA